UCCCUCUUCAGCUUUAUCUUUGUCCCCUUUUUUCUCCCCCCCCCCCCUCUCCCUUCGAAGAAUCUUCAUAAAACUCAGAAUACCGUAGCUUGUUCGUUUCUACCGAGCGAUUGAAAAUUCUUGCAGCAGGUAAUUAGACUUGCAUAUUGGCUGAUGAUCAGCCUUUAAAGCUGCUGUUUCCAAUGUCUUUGGAUGUGUGACACAUUUUGCUGAGCGGCUCAAUGUCCAAAACUUUCCCAGUAUCCAUGAAAACUGUUGCGACAAAUUUAGGGACUAAAACCCUCUCCUUUGCCAACUGUCAUCACACGACACUGUGCAAUCAACAACUUCAUUUGGUGUCUUUUGUUUUAUGUCAUGAAUUUCUUUGGCAGCAUCUUCUAUUGUUUUCUCACACACAAUCUUUGCACUUUCAAGUAGAGCUUUGUUGUGUAUAAAGGAAUCUUGGUGGUGGUGGCAUGUUCAACAGCCCACAGAAUCGUUUAGCUCCAGCACGUCAGCAACCGAUAAAUCUCAUGGCAUAAACCAUCUGUCUGUUUAUUUCAUAGCAGUUUUAUUCUAUUUCGAAGUACAGAAUUUAUUUUCCCAUUUACACGAAGAACACCUCAAAUUAUUAAAGAUAGGAUCACCACAUUUAGGCCGUCACAUAAGCUUAAAAAUAUGCCUAGAAAGUGACUUUCGUUGCACACAUCGGGAGGCUAAUGAUUUCU